UUGGAGGGCAAGUCUGGUGCCAGCAGCCGCGGUAAUUCCAGCUCCAAUAGCGUAUAUUAAAGUUGUUGCAGUUAAAAAGCUCGUAGUUGAAUUUCGGGGUCAGUAGGUCGGUCGUGCCACCGGUAUGAACUGGCUUCACUGAUUCCUCCCUCUUGUAGAACCGUGAUGCCAUUAAUUUGAUGUUGCGGGGAAACAGGACCGUUACUUUGAAAAAAUUAGAGUGUUUAAAGCAGGCUAACGCUUGAAUACAUUAGCAUGGAAUAAUGAAAUAGGACGUCGAUCUUAUUUUGUUGGUUUCUAGGGUUGACGUAAUGAUUAAUAGGGAUAGUUGGGGGCAUUAGUAUUCAAUUGUCAGAGGUGAAAUUCUUGGAUUUAUUGAAGACUAACUACUGCGAAAGCAUUUGCCAAGGAUGUUUUCAUUAAUCAAGAACGAAAGUUAGGGGAUCGAAGACGAUCAGAUACCGUCGUAGUCUUAACCAUAAACUAUGCCGACUAGGGAUCGGACGGUGGUUCUUUUUAUGCCCCGUUCGGCGCCUUACGGGAAAC
rnacentral:rRNA from 1 species